rnacentral:rRNA from 1 species
UACGUAGGGGGCAAGCGUUGUCCGGAUUUAUUGGGCGUAAAGAACGUGUAGGCGGCCAAGCAGGUCAGCUGUGAAAACUCGAGGCUCAACCUCGAGACGUCGGUUGAAACCGCUUGGCUAGAGUCCGGAAGAGGAGGGUGGAAUUCCCGGUGUAGCGGUGAAAUGCGCAGAUAUCGGGAAGAACACCCGUGGCGAAGGCGGCUCUCUGGGACGGUACUGACGCUGAGACGCGAAAGCGUGGGGAGCGAACAGG